AUGAACGCUGGCGGCGUGCCUAAUACAUGCCCGUCGAGCGAACAGACGAGGAGCUUGCUCCUCUGACGUUAGCGGCGGACGGGUGAGUAACACGUGGAUAACCUACCUAUAAGACUGGGAUAACUUCGGGAAACCGGAGCUAAUACCGGAUAAUAUAUUGAACCGCAUGGUUCAAUAGUGAAAGACGGUUUUGCUGUCACUUAUAGAUGGAUCCGCGCCGCAUUAGCUAGUUGGUAAGGUAACGGCUUACCAAGGCAACGAUGCGUAGCCGACCUGAGAGGGUGAUCGGCCACACUGGAACUGAGACGCGGUCCAGACUCCUACGGGAGGCAGCAGUAGGGAAUCUUCCGCAAUGGGCGAAAGCCUGACGGAGCAACGCCGCGUGAGUGAUGAAGGUCUUCGGAUCGUAAAACUCUGUUAUUAGGGAAGAACAAAUGUGUAAGUAACUAUGCACGUCUUGACGGUACCUAAUCAGAAAGCCACGGCUAACUACGUG
rnacentral:rRNA from 1 species